CCGACGUGUUGGUGUCCAGCUGGAUGCGGUCGGCAAUGAAACUUCCCAACGUUCCUGAACGCACCGAGAGAAACACAGCAAAUAGCUCCUGUAGACCCUCAACAUGAAGCCAAUCCUGAAUCUUGCUCCUGUAGACCCUCAACAUGAAGCCAAUCCUGAAUCUUGUUGGUUGUUUCGUACCUGUGAGACGUUCUCAGACGACAGCAGCGUGUCGGCGAUCUGAGCGGCCAUCGUCACUUCUUCAGCCGUCAGAUCUUCAGGUUGGGACGUCAGGAUCUGAGCGC